rnacentral:rRNA from 1 species
CACGUAGGCACCAAGCGUUGUCCGGAUUUAUUGGGCGUAAAGAGCUCGUAGGCGGUUCGGUAAGUCGGGUGUGAAAACUCUGGGCUCAACCCAGAGAUGCCACCCGAUACUGCUGUGACUCGAGUGCGGUAGGGGAGCGGGGAAUUCCUGGUGUAGCGGUGAAAUGCGCAGAUAUCAGGAGGAACACCAAUUGCGAAGGCAGCUCGCUGGGACGUAACUGACGCUGAGACGCGAAAGCGUGGGGAGCAAACAGG